rnacentral:antisense_RNA from 1 species
AAAGUACCUGGACCUCUAUGCCCAUGCUUCUAGCAGCCAGCCUCCUAAAAUACCUCUAGUUGAAGCCAAAGUUAGAAUCCUUCUAUGAAACUACAGGAUUAAAAUGGAAUGGUUACAUGACCCAGGCUUGACCAAUCAGAUCAUCCAAACCCUUUGCCACAGUGAUUGGUCCAGGGAUACAUGCAUGAGCCAGCUCAGGUGGCAUUGUAUUAUGCGCCAAGAGUGAACCAGAUAGAGGAAGUUGCUCCUUAAGCUUGCAGGUCUGAAAGAACAAGGAAUUGCCUCUCUUCAAAGGCCUAAGCCACACUCAUCUUGUGGAUGACACUGGAGCUGUGACAGUCUGUUCUGUCCAGGCUGGGUGUCUUUUAUUUUUAUUGGAAAUAAGAUUAUCACAGCCCUUUGAGAGCUUCUGUCUCAACAUCAGAAAAUCAUCCUAGAUCCAUACUUGUACACAACAGUCUGUGCCAGUGAGAUUCAUUCUUUUGGGAGCUCUGCUAAUAAUGCACGAAUUGCUGGCUGUUGAUACUCUUUCCCAUCAACUCCCCAAAUGGAAAUGCUUUCAACCACUGCAGAAGUAAAAAAUUACCCAAAGGCUGUAUGAUGCAAACUCUUUCUUUGGCUUUAUCUUACUGAUAAGAAUAAAAAUAACACCUCA